rnacentral:rRNA from 1 species
GUUGGUGACUUGAGCGGAGGGGGUACACCCAGCUCCAUCCCGAACCUGGAAGUUAAGCCCUCCAGCGCCGAUGGUAGUGAGGGGGCGACCCCUUGCGAGAGUAGGUCGUUGCCAACA